rnacentral:lncRNA from 1 species
UUGCUGGGGUUUGAACUUGGAUCCUUUGGACGAACAGUCAGUGCUUUUACCUGCUGAGCCAUCUUGCCAGCCCCCAUCAAGUGUUAGCUUCAGCUCCAUGUAUUCACACAAGCUUUUCUCACACUUGUUCCUCUUGCCUGUUGUUUGAAUACUGUUACUACAAGUGUGUGUGCCCAAGGGUUACUCUUUUCCUGUGCAAGGAAUUACUUAAGGUUGUACUCAGAUUCCCAGAAUUCACUCUUGACACUGCUCAGAGGAGGACAGAAUAAAGCAAUGUGAUUAAGAAUAACUUUUGCCUUGUUUUGUGGUAUUGAAAAUUGAACCCAGCCAGGCAGUGAUGGCGCACGCUUUUAAUCCCAGCACUUGGGAGGUAGAGGCAGGUGGAUUUCUGAGUUCGAGGCCAGCCUGGUCUACAGAGUGAGUUCCAGCACAGCCAGGGCUAUACAGAGAAACCCUGUCUUGAAAAACCAAAAAGAAAAAAAAAAAAAGGAAAAUUGAACCCAGGCCUCAUCUGGUUGGUAAGUAAUCUGCUACUGAGCAACAUUCUAACUCCAUGAGGUUUGUUUUGUUUUUAGACAGGUCUCUCUGUAUAGCCCUGACUGGCCUGGAACUCACAAGAGAUCUGCCAGCCUUGCCUCCCAAGUGUUGGCCUUAAGGUGUGUGCCCCCUACACCUGAUCCACACUUGGCUUUUAACAAGAGCUUUUUUUGAUUUCUGUUUUUUUUUCUUUUUUUCUUUGAUAAUGAAGAAGUCCAAACCUGUUAUACCAGCACAUGUAAGGCUGAGGCAUGGUUAUUCCAGUGUCAAACCUAGCCUGGUCUACAGUGGAGGGGGAAAGGGUGGGAGAGAAAAAAGAAACAAUGUUUAUUAGAGUUAUUUGAGUAUUGAAGUGUACACACACACACACACACACACACACACACACACCCACCCUAGCUCUCUAGACCAUCUUUCUAAAGGACUUGAUAGGGCCUGUACACAUGUGGGGCGGUAUCUCUUAACCGGUGGCUGAAGCGCCUUCUGACCCUGGUGUUAACCUGCGCAGUUAACCUGCCGAGCAAAGCACUGAAGAGUUGUUACUUUCUCUUCUUCAUCUUUGAGGACUCUCCAGAAUCGCUUUGAAACAUGACUUAAAUUUUUAAAAAGUUGGUUGGCAUAAAAUAAACAGCAAAAUUGCGUCUGGUGUUAUAGCUGAAGGAUCUGGAAGAUCAUUCUAAACUACCUUAGGUAGUUGUUCUGGGAGAUUAUUUUAGGGUUUCCUGUUUACCAGCCUCCUCUCAGAAAAUCUUGGAGGCUUUUCUCUGCUUAAGUGCAAACGGCGCCCUUUGUUUAUACUCUCUCCACAUACCGUAUACAAAGCUAGCAGCCCGCUAACAUCCAAGUUUUAGCAAACAUUGAUGUCUGUGUGGUUUUGUCUAACUCACAAAUAUUUAUUAUAUGCUCAACAGAAUUCACUUUGACAUUAGAAGUGCGUAAGUAGUUAUGUGAUACUAGCUUAUAAAUUGUAUGCAUAACUUCACUUUGUAAGCUGCUUAACAGUUUCUUUUAGGUCUGCCUUUGGGAGUUUUCCAGGCAACCAUGCAGUUAGUAGAAAACUAUAGAAGCUAAUUCACCUGCUUAUAUGAGUGUGUCUUAACCUAGGAGCUUUGAAGAUCUAUGAUACAUCUUCCGUUUUGCUCUUCUGGGUUGGAGUUUGUGUACUGGCUGUUUUUCUUAAACACCAUACAUUUGAAACUUACAGGUUUGUUGAAUAGUUCUGUAUUAGUGUUUAGGUUUAAUUAAAAAUCUUUAUAUUUUUGGCAUAUCUAUUUCUGAUUUCUUUUUUAAUAAAUACACACUUCAGAUAAUGGUUGAAGGGCCUUCCUUCUCCAUGUUCAAAUGUGUCUACUUUCCUGAAUUUAGGUAUGUCACUAUCAGACGACAUAACUUGAGCUAGCAUUUCACAUUUCCCUAAUUGGUUUUAUGAUGAAUGUGGCAGUACACUGAGAAAAACUUUGUGACCAGAUUCUCCAACACAAUGUCUAUGAAGUUCUGAGGUAUUGAGGGGGAAAAAAAUCUUGUCUAUUUAAAAAUUGCAUCAUUGCCUAUGAGUCUGUGUGAUGUUGCUUGGAAAAUACACUGAAAACUCUGCCUAGGAAAGUAUCCAUUCUUCAAUUAACUUUGGGCUCCAUAGUUUGUUCCUAAUAGAAUUUUCUAGAUUUUGAUGACAAUCAUUCCCAGUUGGUCUUGUUUUAGAUCAUGUCAAUAAUAAUUUUAUAAAUGAGGAGAUAAACUUUGAACAAGCCCCAUACUCACUGACCAGUGCCCACACACUCCGUAAGUUUCCCAGUUCUUGAGUCCUGUGGUCCUCGUGUGAGUCUUGCCUGUGGACCAAGGCUUCGCCUUCACUUAAACUGAUGUUACCUCUUAUGUUUCCACAGCUGACAGUCAGCCCGAGUCUGCUGUUCAUGUUUAACACCUUUUCUGAAUAACAGUUCUCUAACUGUUAAUAUUGUACAAAAUGGUACUUGCAUUCAUUGUUUGCUUUUCUCUCUCUGUAUUAGAAAAACUGGUGUUUUUUUGUAAGUCAUGUAUAUUCUUCUUAAUAUUUGUUCAUAUAAUGACGUGAUCCAGGAAAAAUAAAAUGGGAAAAUGGACAGUACUUCUGGCCUUCAAAUAAAACUCAUGUAUUGGUUUUC